CAGCCGCCACGGUAGUACGGAGGGAGCUAGCGUUAUUCGGAAUUACUGGGCGUAAAGCGCACGUAGGCGGCUUUGUAAGUUAGAGGUGAAAGCCUGGAGCUCAACUCCAGAAUUGCCUUUAAGACUGCAUCGCUUGAAUCCAGGAGAGGUGAGUGGAAUUCCGAGUGUAGAGGUGAAAUUCAUAGAUAUUCGGAAGAACACCAGUGGCGAAGGCGGCUCACUGGACUGGUAUUGACGCUGAGGUGCGAAAGCGUGGGGAGCGAACAGGAUUAGAGACCCCUGUAGUCCCUGUCUCUUAUAA
rnacentral:rRNA from 1 species